GCCGAAGUGGCGGAAUAGGCAGACGCGCUGCGUUCAGGGCGCAGUCCUCAUUACGGGGGUGUGGGUUCGACUCCCACCUUCGGCA
rnacentral:tRNA from 1 species